GGGGCAUCAGAAGAAAGCUUGCUUUCUUGCUGGCGACCGGCGCACGGGUGAGUAACACGUAUCCACCUGCCCUUUACUCGGGGAUAGCCUUUCGAAAGAAAGAUUAAUACCCGAUGGGUCCGCAUGGUUAAAGGAUUCCGGUAAAGGAUGGGGAUGCGUUCCAUUAGGUUGUUGGUGAGGUAACGGCUCACCAAGCCUUCGAUGGAUAGGGGUUCUGAGAGGAAGGUCCCCCACAUUGGAACUGAGACACGGUCCAAACUCCUACGGGAGGCAGCAGUGAGGAAUAUUGGUCAAUGGGCGCUAGCCUGAACCAGCCAAGUAGCGUGAAGGAUGAAGGCUUAUGGGUCGUAAACUUCUUUUAUAUAAGAAUAAGUGCAGUAUGUAUACUGUUUUGUAUGUAUUAUAUGAAUAAGGAUCGGCUAACUCCGUGCCAGCAGCCGCGGUAAUACGGAGGAUCCGAGCGUUAUCCGGAUUUAUUGGGUUUAAAGGGAGCGUAGGUGGACUGGUAAGUCAGUUGUGAAAGUUUGCGGCUCAACCGUAAAAUUGCAGUUGAUACUGUCAGUCUUGAGUACAGUAGAGGUGGGCGGAAUUCGUGGUGUAGCGGUGAAAUGCUUAGAUAUCACGAAGAACUCCGAUUGCGAAGGCAGCUCACUGGACUGCAACUGACACUGAUGCUCGAAAGUGUGGGUAUCAAACAGGAU
rnacentral:rRNA from 1 species